rnacentral:rRNA from 1 species
UACGGAGGGUGCAAGCGUUGUCCGGAAUCACUGGGCGUAAAGGGCGCGUAGGCGGCUCAUGAAGGCUGUGGUGAAAGUCCGGGGCUCAACCUCGGAUCGGCCGUGGCGACUCGUGGGCUGGAGCACUGUAGAGGCGGGUGGAAUUCCGGGUGUAGCGGUGGAAUGCGUAGAGAUCCGGAAGAACACCGGUGGCGAAGGCGGUCUGCUGGGGUGAGGCUGACACUGAUGCGCGACAGCGUGGGGAGCAAACAGG